UGUUCAUAGGUGAAGAACUUUGGAUCCUCUUUUUUCUCGUCAUUUUGGCCCCUGGCUAUCUUAGGUAGAAUGCACAUUCUGUUCCUGAACCUAAUCCAAAUCCUGGAACUCACUCAUCACUGUCCUCUCUCCUGCAGUAACUUCAACAGCAUGGCUGAGGAUACCAGAGGAGCCAUGAAAUGAGAGUGACCAUCUUACUGGUCGAAUUCACAUGCAGGAAGCAGCAGAGGCUGUGAGGUGUCACCGAUGUUGCUGGUGCAUGGGUACACUUCAGCGGCAAGCACGAAAAGGACCUGAUUACAGAAACUCAACUUCUCCCUGGACAAAAUGAGAUUUUUCCGGUGAUUAUAUGGCAGUGGGAGUGAGCAAAAUAUUUAUGCCAGAGCUAGCAAUUCAGAGACUAAGAAGACCCAAUGUGACAUUAGGUCCUGCAGUCUCCCAUUGGCAAAAUCUGGGGAGGAAGCUGAAAAGAAGAGGCAUGAAUCAUGGGUCAGGCAAGUUCAAUCCCCACUCUCUGAAACAUGGAGCCCCACCAGCUCCCCAUGAUCCAUGACAU
ensembl:lincRNA